CCUACGGGUGACAGCAGUGGGGAAUAUUGCACAAUGGGGGAAACCCUGAUGCAGCGACGCCGCGUGAGUGAAGAAGUAUUUCGGUAUGUAAAGCUCUAUCAGCAGGGAAGAAAAUGACGGUACCUGAUCAAGAAGCACCGGCUAACUACGUGCCAGCAGCCGCGGUAAUACGUAGGGGGCAAGCGUUAUCCGGAUUUACUGGGUGUAACGGGAGCGUAGACGGCAGGACAAGUCUGGGGUGAAAUGCCGGGGCUUAACCCCGGAACUGCUUUGGAAACUGGGCAGCUAGAGUGCAGGAGAGGUAAGUGGAAUUCCUAGUGUAGCGGUGAAAUGCGUAGAUAUUAGGAGGAACACCAGUGGCGAAGGCGACUUACUGGACUGUAACUGACGUUGAGGCGCGAAAGCGUGGGGAGCAAACAGGAUUAGAUACCCUUGUAGUC
rnacentral:rRNA from 1 species